rnacentral:rRNA from 1 species
UACGUAGGGGGGCAAGCGUUGUCCGGAAUCACUGGGCGUAAAGCGCGCGCAGGCGGUCAUCUACGUCUGGGGUGAAAGCCCGGAGCUCAACUCCGGGAUUGCCUUGGAUACGGGAUGACUUGAGGAUCGGAGAGGCAAGGGGAAUUCCACGUGUAGCGGUGAAAUGCGCAGAUAUCAGGAGGAACACCGGUGGCGAAGGCGGGUCUCUGGGCCGAUACUGACGCUGAGGAGCGAAAGCGUGGGGAGCGAACAGG